GCCCGGGUGGUCUAACUGGCAAUGAUUCGCACUUUGGAGAUUUUUCUCCCGACUUUGGUUUUUGCGAGGUUCCACGUUCGAAUCGUGGCUUGGGCC